UUGAAGAUGUUGUUGUAAAACAU
rnacentral:snRNA from 1 species